CGAUGAAUUAUGCUGCUCACCUCUGUGGGGAUUACACGCCCUAAUCCUUCUGCAGGGAAGGAAGGGGAUGUGAGUGAUAGGGAGGGGAUGUGAGUGAUAGGGAGGGGAGGUGAGUGAUAGGGAGGGAAUGUGAGUGAUAGGGAGUGAAUGUGAGUGAUAGGGAGUGAAUGUGAGUGAUAGGGAGGAGACGUGAGUGAUAGGGAGGGGACGUGAGUGAUAGGGAGGGGAUGUGAGUGAUAGGGAGGGGAUGUGAGUGAUAGGGAGGGGAUGUGAGUGAUAGGGAGGGGAGGUGAGUGAUAGGGAGGGGAUGUGAGUGAUAGGGAGGGGAUGUGAGUGAUAGGGAGGGGAUGUGAGUGAUAGGGAGUGAAUGUGAGUGAUAGGGAGGGGAGGUGAGUGAUAGGGAGAGGAGGUGAGUGAUUGGGAGUGAAUGUGAGUGAUAGGGAGGGGACAUGAGUGAUAGGGAGGGGAUGUGAGUGAUAGGGAGUGAAUGUGAGUGAUAGGGAGGGGAGGUGAGUGAUAGGGAGGGGAGGUGAGUGAUUGGGAGUGAAU
ensembl:lncRNA